rnacentral:lncRNA from 1 species
CCGACCCCCCGGUGGUCGAACCCUGGUGGUCGCAUGUGACAUAGAAAGGUGCCUAUUGUUGUACGCACCGAUUAAGUUGCGAGUACGAUCUUGAUAUGCUCUGCGUUUGACUAUUUCUUUUUGUUAAGAUUAAGGUAUGAAGUCGGUGCCAUAGUCAUAUUAGUUAAAUUGCUAUUUCAUAUAAACCAAAUAGUGAUAUGCAUUUUUUACUCUGUCUAGCGUAUUUACAUAUUUAGCAUUUAUAUCUGAAGGGGACUCUAAAAGUUGUAAUGCUUAAUUCUCAAAUCAUAUACGAGCCAUAUGGUCCCAGUGAGCCCAUCUCCUUUUUAUGAAGGUGGUUUACAAAUAGUGGACGGAGAAGAACAAAAGAUGAUAUCUUUCUAGAGGUUGCACCUUGCUCCUUAUUACCAAAUUCAUGGAAGCUUACAUGCUGCAUUUUCUACACAUGAGUAGUACUCAUAGUUAUUUUGAUCUGUUCGAUGAUCCCUACUUCCUUGCAGCUAAGUUUAUCAUUAUGUUUGUAGAAAGUAUAAUACAAUGAUAUUUUGACUUGACGCUUCUCUUUGGAUUUACAUGCAGCUAAAGAAUCCUAUGCUAUUGCCCAAUUGCGAAAAUCUGGUUACUAAAAAAAAAAUUCUACAUGGAGGCUGUAAACUUAUAUAAAGUGGUACACAUCUUAUUAGAGGCGUCUAUUAUUUUGUCGAAAGAAUAACUUAUUAUUGAUGAUUAGCAUAGUCUGUUGGUUAUUAUUAUUUGGGCUUUUAUGGUCAUUCACAAUAGCGAUGACACACCCUUUUUAGCGACGACAGGCGACCAAUAGCGGCCGAGCUAUAGCGACGACAUGUCGCCGCUAAAAGUCAAUAGCGGCGACAAAAAGGACUUUUAGCGGCGACACGUGUCGUCGCUAAAAGUACAUGUUUCUUGUAGUGAACGUAAGCAAUUUACUCACUGAAAUUUCUUUUCUUUUAUCUAAGCAAAAUAUCAUUAUUAGUUUUUUGUGUUUUGCCUUUAGCAUUAUCCAAUGUAUUUCAAGAGUUUGUGAUAAACAAACCAACAAAUGAACCGGUUGAUAUGAGUUAAAGCUGGGGAAUAUCAACCAGCAAAGCAACGCCACUGGAGGUCCAAGUUGCCCCUCGUUUCUGAUAAAUUGUACCAUGUUGGCGCGUAAUCCCCCCCCCCCCCCCCCCCCUCCAU